AGUGGAGAUAUACUUGUCUCUAGACAGAUACCCCUGAAGACUAGAGCGAUAGGGACAGCCGUGUGAGUAGCAGGAGUUGGUCCACUUUUAUUUAGUGCAGGAUCUCAUGUAUCUUGGACUGUAACCGGCUAGCUAUAUAUCCAACAAUAACCUUUAACUUCAUGGAUCCUCCUACCCUCCAGCCCUUUCAUUGGGGUUACAGGUCUGCACCAACACAGCACUGCAGUGGAGGCCUAGCCAAACAGAGUUUAAUGAGACCUCGUCAUGACAAACUCCUGAGAGCCAUACAUAGUUUUUCCGCAGAGUAAAGAUUGUGGUAGUAAAGAUUGAUGUGCAAAUUAGUGUUAUUAAAUCAUUGGACUAUAUGCUCAUAUUUUUAUCCAAUUUUAUUGAAGCAUAAUUAAAUAUGUAUGCAGUAAAUUACAUACUGUAUAUUAGUAGAUGAAUUUCUCAGUAAAUCUUAAAAGCACAUAAACGUAGAUAACACAAUUUUGGGGAUUCAUACAUGUUAGACAUACUAAUUCUGUCCCUGAGCUACGCCCUAGCCUUCACACAUCUCAACACACAAGCCAAGCUCACAUUUAUUCUUUAGAGGUAUUUUGGAAACCAUCUGCUUAUGCUGUGCUCUGGUUGCAUUCAUUGAUUGAAAGUGUCAUGUUUUUUCUUUUCGUUCUUUGUUUUUUCUUUUUUUUAGAUCGGUUUUCUCUGCUUAGUUCUGAAUGUCCUGGAACUCACUUUGUAGACCAGGCUGGCCUUGAUCUCCCAGAGAUUUGCCUGUGGCCAGCUGGACUUAAUUAAAAGCAUUUGUUAAAGAAAGUUUAUUCCCUUAGUAAUAACUUCAGUUUUCAUUGAGUUGGCAAUUCAUGAAGAGCAAUAUUAUUGGUUUCCUUACACUUCAAAUAAGAUUUUUUUUUUGCAUGUUUUCCUAUAAUUGUAACCUCUUUGGUUUUCUGUUCUUCAUAAAUAGAAUAAUUUCUACUGCCAGUUCUUGCAACCCUAGUGUAGUGCUGUUCCUGGUAACUACAUGAUAUCUCUUCUUUUCCUCUACCAUGUUGAGCACUCUGGUCCUGCCCCAAACUAGAGGGCAGCACUUGGCUGCUGGACAGCUACCAUUGUAGCCCUGUCUACCUUCCUCUCAGAAGUAAUAACCUUUCCUUUACAUAGUUUCCCCACUUGGGUGAAUUUAUUGCUUACGUUCCUCAAAAUCCCAAUGAAAGGCCAAGAUUGAGACCUUGAAUAUAUGGAAAUACCCUACACUGGCACUCCAGCUGGGAAUGGAACCACUUGUUAGAAAUGCUUUGUAGGGCCUGGAGCAAUGACUCAGCAGUUAAGAGUACUGGCUGCUCUGGCUACUUUUCCAGAGGCCCUGAGUUCAAUUCCCGGCAACACAAUUGGCAGCUCACAACUGUAACUCCAGUUUCAGGGGAUCUGACAUCCCUACGCCAAUUCACAUAAAAAAAAAAUUAAAUCCUUUGCAAUUAAGAGAGCCACUGUGAGCCGUCUUGAAUCCUAGCACUCUGGACAAGACUGAAUCUGAGGCCAGCCAGAGCUGUUUCUGAACAGCAAUGAGGUGUUCUGCAUUGAGACUGGAAGUAUCCAUAGACAAGAAAUGGUGUUUCAUUUUCAGAUUCCCCGAAUUCCAAUUUGUUUUUUGGUUAUUGCCAAUUACUGUGAGACAAAAUGUGCCUAUAAACAUUAUGCUGGCAAAAUGACCCUUUAAUUUCUUAAAAAUUUGCCAUCUUUAUUCUAAAAUUAUUUUUUUGCAUUUUUUAAAUUUAAUUAUUUUGGAUUGGGGAGUUGUAUUUGCUUGGUAAGUUCUCACUGUGAGAGCUGUUAUAUAGCCCAGGUUGCUCUGUGGUCAAUACUUUAUUCUUGGAAGCGCAGUUAGUGGUUAUUUUGUGAUAAUCCAUGUAGCCCGGGCUCUCCUGAAUUCUGCCCUCACAGGAAUGUGCUGCUGUAAGUAUAUUUCAGGCAAGUUCCAAUUUCAGGAUAUUUUUUCUUACUAUACUGAUCAUGGUCAUUAAUUCUUGAUGCCAUUUUCAUUUCUUGUUUCCAUAGCUAUUUGUUUGUUUUCCCUUUUCUUGGAGCUGAGUCCAUGGCUUUACAAAUGCUGGCCAAGAGCUCACCAGCUCAUCCCCAGUGACGUGUUUGUUUGCCUUCUGACACUGUGGUCACACCAGGGCCUUGUAAACUUGUGUGCUGCACCGCUGGCUCCCAGCCCUCUGGUGGGAUUCUGGAGUUGAUGUUCAUAUGUAUGAACUUAGCUUUGAGCAAUACUUUGAUGAAGAUGAUCUUCCCUCUCUUCUCCCUCAGGUCUGACUGUCAGCACUGGAGAAGCUAUGACUACGGGCUGAGGCGGCAGCUCAGAUGCUAAUGUACUUGCCUCACAAGUGUGUGACUUCAGUACCCAGCAGCACAUGAAUGGGCUGUGUCAGCAUGAUUGUAAUGCUAGUGCUGGGAGAGCUGGGGCUUAGUGCUCACCUAGCCUAACCCAGCCUCCAAGGCCCAGGUCUCAGGAAGAGACCAUCUCUAAAAACACUCAAGGUGAAUUCAUCUCUGGCUCUCAUGGCCAAAAUACAUGUGCAGCCACAAACACAUGUACAGACCAGGGAGCUACCACAUCCAUCCUCAUUCUCAUGCUCUUCCUGUCAUCUCCGAGGAUCCAUAGCUAAAGGAGUUUUGAUCCUGAGUUUUCUAGUAGGCAGCAGGAAGCCCAACUUUCAGCCAAAUCUCACUCCAGGGCUGCACCGUGCAGCAGCUGAUGUGUCAGACUCUGGGUUUACUUGCCCUCUGCAAAAAGGUUCUUUGUCUAACUUGAAGGGCAAUGGAUUUUCACAAUUCUAGCGCGAAGAUGCUGAGAUCUUUUCUGUGAGAAAAGAUAAAACAAUGAACCAGAAAGGGUCUCUCACUUGGUUUUCUGGUGGUAGCCUUGAACUCUGGUGAUCCUCCCCCCAACCUCCUGAGUACCGGGCCUAGUUAUUCAGAUGUGGGUUUUUGGAAAAGAACUGAAAAGGGUAGGCAGAAGAAACCCUGACCAGCAGGAAUUAGAAGUAUGAAGCCUGGCACAUGCUUCAGCUACCCCUAAGUUCCUGCGCCAGCUUGCUUUCACCAUCAUAAAUUCUACUGAGGACAAAAGUAGCAAUCUCAAAUACACCUGGGAUGCUUCCUUGCACCCCGCAGACCCUGUGACCACUGCCUCCUGUUCCCCGUGUGUUUUUCUCCCUUGCACGAUCUCACUGCCUAUCCUCACUGUAGUUUAUACCUUGCUCCAGUUGAUCUCGUUGUCUCCCACAACAGCCCUCCAUGGCAGAGUGAAGGCAAAGCUCUGGGUCACUGGGGACAGUUCUAAAGGGUGACUGCUCAGUGAACAUUAGGAUCUGAGCUUGAGUCCCAGCACCACAUUCAAAAAAAUUAUUCAAAAAAAGGGGGCUGGGCAGACACAUACAUGUAAUCCCAGCAUUGGGGAGAAACCGGGUAGGGGAUAAGGCAGGGACCAAAAAGAGAAAGAAAGAUCCUCAGUAUCCAAUCAUCUCCACGGUGUCCCAACAUGCAGCCACGUCAGACACAGAGACCCUUUAGUGCGUUCCCUUUCUCUUCUGAGGCAGUCUUGUGCAGGCCCCAUGUUGGCCUGGAGCUCCUGAUCAUGCUGCCUGCACUUCCCAAGUGCUGGGGUUGGAGCAAUGUGCCACCAUACAGGAUAGCUCUAACAUUUCAUCUCAUUUUACAAAUGAGGCAAAAUGCUAAACAUAUUUACCUAAAGAACCGGAUCAGAAAAGCCCUGGUCUUUUAUGAUAGUAUCUAACUAUAUAGCUCUCAUGAGCCUGCCUGCCUGCGUCCUGAGUUGGUCACCUUAAAACUAAGUUUAAAACCCAGGACAUACCAAGACCAUCGAGAGUCUUCACGGUACCAUGCAACUAAAGUGGAAAAGUUGAAACCCUGGGUCAAAACUAUGCCAGACAAUGCCCCAUGUACAAAUAAGCAAAUCUGACUAAAAAGACUUGACUUGACUCUCAGAAUCUAUUAGCACAUGCACCAUUGCGAAGAAACUGUUGAAAGCAUUGUUUCUGGCUCUUGUUUAAUGUGAAGGCUUAAUUCCUUGCCCAGAAAUAAUACAUAAACCAUGUGUGCAGGGGGUGGGGAGAUAGGACAUGCAUGCAUUUAUUUAAGAAUUCCCAAUAAGGGGGGAAAUUCAACAUCUUUAAAAAUGUGUUUAUUUUUUUUAAAAAUUCAGUUGUAUACAAAAGUGUUUCGUAGUUUUUAAUUCUCAAGACAAACACCAUCCCUCCACCCGCAGCCCACCCUGCUUCAAUGGUAUAUCUGGUAACCAGCCCAUUUUCCCCUUACAGGAAGUUGAUGACUCAGAACAGACCCUCCUACAGAGUUCACCAUCACUAACAAACUGUUUAGAGAUCUAAAGAAGCUAACAAGCAAGGUUCUUUCCCGGUGAGGUUAAUGAAAAUCCCUAAAAUGGCAGUAACUUCCAGCAGACACAACAAAGCACCAUCAAUUGCUGAAAGUUAAAAAAUAGAUAUUUUUCAAUAAUAUUUCAUUUUCUAUUGGAAAAGUCUUUAAAUUACAUUAAAUAAGUCUCUUUUCCCUAAAGAAAUUGUCUAGCUUCUGUUAUGAUGCCUGUAAAAGGUAGGUGACGGUAAGAAGACAUGAUCGACCAGCAGCAGCACAGUGCAAGGACUGGAUCCACUUGCCUCUGAACUCAUCAGACAGCAGCCGAAGGUGACACAACCAGGGCACCCUUCGGGGAGGACUGCAGGCUUCUGAGGCCCUAGCAGUGUAAGAGAGCCGGAAGAACAGCAAGGGAAGAGGCACGAGCACCCAUUCCUUCCACAGCGCAUCUCUGCUUUUCAUGGCAGCUGCAAACAAGGGUGUCACAGCAAGUGUAGACACUGGAAGUCAUGCGACAGUGAGAACCUGGAGUAGGCUGAUGGGUGUGCAUUUACUGAGCCAGGAACUGGAAGGUGGAAAUGCAACUCUUAAGCAUCAACUCCUUGGAACUAGAAAAAGUGAUUAAUACAGAAUCAUUUUGUCAGUCCAUGAAAUAAAGUUAACUGUAAACAGACACUUUCCUUUUUCUUCUUCCUAUCUAAACACUGUUUCUGUCUAUGUACAAAAUAUACCUGACUCCACUAUUCUCUGCCCAAAUUCAUCUGAAGUCCUUAUACCACCAAAAACUCAUUCUGGCGUUGCUCCACUGGCUCCCGAAACACCCUAUUUCUACUGCAGUUUAGAGCUCCUAACAAGCAUACGCUUACAGUUGAGCUCUGCUUUUCACACUGGUAAGUUUGCUCAGCAUCCUCACCAGUAAAAUAACAUGCUGCAUUUUGUAGUGCAUAACGAGCAAAACCUGCUGCCAAUUCCUUCCUGCAGACACAUAAGGAUUUUUGCAUAGUGUUAAAUGCCACCAACAAUCAGGAAUACAAAAAAAUUCAAAAUAAGUGUUUUAAUCUCGGUUCAUAGGCUAUACUUCUCAAAAGCCAAAUAUUCGAUUCCAAACAUUUACAUAUAUUUGAAGGUGUUACGUGUUUAAGAUAAGAGACAUCUGAGAUCACAAACUCAGGGCAGCUGGUUAAUCCCAGUGCCUGAAGUCUACAUCCUGUGCUUGCAGUCAAACCUUUCUGUGAUCUAGCCCAACAUGCUUACAACUAAGUUUUCUAUUAAAGUUGGGCAGAGGCUCAGAAAAAAAAAAAAAAAAAAAAACACAAAAACUGGAUUAUGUAAAACCCCUUUAGAGGGUCAGUGACUUGAAGUAAAUCUGCAUGCUCUAAAUGAGAACCCACUAAAAUUACUGGGGAGAAGCGAUGUUCCUACAAGGUUUGUGGAGUUCUGGCUGACAUGAAACUCACAAAUCUGCCUGCCUCUGCCUCUCAAAAAGUCUGGGACUAAACCAACACCCAGAACAAAAUAGAAACUUUUUAGGACUUUUUAAACUGACAAAUUCUCAAACACAGAAAUAUAAAAAUAAUUUCACGUUUUACUAAGUCUGAAUUUUUAAUAUUCUGCUUAAAGUAUUUAGUACCAGAAUAAAAAGCCUAAGUUUCUUGUUUUUGAUGAACUAAAGCUACCAGUUGUGAAAUGAAAACAAACAAAAACAAAUAAAAAGAGGACAUCACAGAAAUACAAAAAUAAAAAGCGAUUAACACAUUAAGUAAAAAUGAGGAAAAAGCUCAACCAGUCUUGCUUAUGUAACCCAGAUAGCUUUGAACUUGUGUAUUUAGCACAUACAUGAUGGGGCCAGUCUGCAACCAAAAAAGGGAGGGAGGGAGGGAGGGAGGGAGGGAGGGAGGGAGGGAGGGAAGGAAGGAAGGAAGGAAGGAAGGAAGGAAGGAAGGAAGGAAGGAAGGAAGGAAGGAAGGAAGGAAGGAAGGAAGACCAAAGCAGGGCUUAACUGCAAAGUAGGUGACGCAUGGCUCCAGUCAUCUGAGUUCUCAUCUGUCUAACCAGACAAAUACCCUGACAAUAUGGGCAAAGAGUAAACUCCAAGAUACCUAAAUAUUAGUGUUACCAAGCUGCCUCCACUAAAAAAAAAAUCUAAUCAAUAAUGGAGCUAAACUUUCCAUGAUUUCACACAAUCCCAUCUAAUCUCAGGAUAUAAAGAAAAGUACAAAGUUUAAGCUAUUUAAAAUAAAUAAAAAUCUUGUUUCCUUUGGCAUCUUUAGGACAUAAACUACAGCAAUAAAAGGUGUGGCUGCAACAGGAAAUGUGUGUAUCUGCAAACAUGGAGAUCAUAGCAGCCUGAGUUUAGUGCAUGGCCCUAAGAGUCACUGCUAACUGAGAAAGCCGUAGAAGCUGCUGGAAGACCUUCACAUCUUCAAUGUCAUAGUCUAGUUAAUGGCUCUUUUAUUGCUUGUAGUAUCAAGAAUAUUGAAAAGUCAAAUGAAGUUAGGCUGAGUUAACAGGUUCAAAAAGUAUUUUCCAACUACUAUGACUACAAGAUGAAGAACACGCCCAGCACUUGGGGGCAGAGGCAGGCGGAUCUCUGUGAGUUCAAGGCUACCCUGGUCUACAAGAGCUAGUUCCAGGACGGGCUCCAAAACUACAGAGAAAUGCUGUCUCAAAAGAGAGAGAGAGAGAGAGAGA